rnacentral:tRNA from 1 species
GAGAAGAAUUAUGAAAUACAGAAACUGCUAAUGUCUGACUCUAGAGUUAAAGUCUCUAGUCUUCUCAC